CUAGAUCCAUUAGAAGGUGGUGACAUCCAUUUGGUCGGUUAUGACUAACGCUUAAAAGAAUAGCAUAGUGCAGCACAGCACAACAGAAACUAUCAGAAUGCAUCAAAUGUCACAAAGGCUCUCCUACCAGGAUGACGAAAAUCGGUAACUGACGCUCCCAGAGGAGGACAAGAGGGACAUCCGGCAAUCUCCGAAGAGGGGUUUCCUCCGCUCUGCCUCACUAGGUCGAAGGGCCUCCUUCCACCUGGAAUGUCUGAAGCGACAGAAGGACCGAGGGGGAGACAUCUCUCAGAAGACAGUCCUGCCCUUGCAUCUGGUUCAUCAUCAGGUAGCUCACACUUUAGGACAGGCCACUGUCACCUGCCAGCAGGCCAGACAGUCCCCAGGGUGAUGGACAAAUCCUGAAGACAUCAGUGGGUCUUCCCUGUCUCGAUGGCUGGCACGUCCAGGAGUCCAGGAGAAACAGGCCUUUCCAUGCCCAAGUUGGUACCUUUUUGGGUGAGAACACUCUGAAAAUGAAGACUCUGGAAGUUAUUUUGAGCCACACAAGAUCAGAGAUAGCCAUGUCCAAGCAUAUUUGUGUCUGUCCACAAUUGCAGCCUUUUAUUCAUUUAUUUCCAUAAUAAAAGUCGUGAGCUACAUGAAGGGUCCAAGGAGACAAUUCUCCAUAGAGCCUAUUUCUACAAAGGAAUUACUCAUAGCAAGAGUGCUAUGUACAGAAGUCAUCCAAAGGGUCGUGUAAAGUAACCAACUUUUGGAUGGUUACUUUACACCAUCCUUUACAAUAGGCCUGACAAUACACACCCACCACUCCUAAAGGCAAAGAAAUAGAACAAAUGUUUAGGAGAAGGAUAGAGUGGAACCCUGGUCAUCGGGGUUUUUAACCUCAUCAAACCAUCAUAGAAAACGUGGCAAAGGAGGAUGACGGCAUCUCUGUCCCUAGAGGCCUAGAAUAAUUAAAAUAUAUUUAGAAACA